GGAAAAUGGCCAAAAACGGCCCAACAAUGGGGAAAAAAGGGGGAAUUAUUCUGAUAGAGCUGGGGCAGCCCCAGAGUUUGGGGAGAAAAACACAAAGUUUGGUUAAAAUGAGAAAAAAUGGGAAAAAAUGGGGAAAAAAUGGGAAAAACGGGGAAAAAAUGGGGGAAAAUGGGGAAAAACAGGGGAAAAAUGGGAAUUUGGGAAUGGGGAACCACCUGGGCACUGCUGGGAUUGGGGAAAAAAUAGGAAAAAAUGGGGGAAAAUGGGAAAAAAUGGGGAAAAAUGGGGAAAAUUGGGGAAAACAGGGAAAAAAACAGGAAAAAAUGGGGAAAAACGGGGAAAAAAAUGGGAAUUUGGGAAUGGGGAACCAGCUGGGCACUGGUGGAAUGGGGGAAAACCAGGGAAAUUUGGGAAAAAUCUGGAAAAAUCUGGGGAAAAAUGGGGAAAAAUGGGAAAAAAAUGGGAAAAAACGGGGAAAAAACGGGAAAAAACAGGGGGAAAAUGGGAAAAAAUGGGAAAAAAUGGGAAUUUGGGAAUGGGGAACCACCUGGGCACUGCUGGAAUUGGGGAGAAACAAGGGAAUUUGGGAAAAAAUGGGAAAAAAAGGGAAAAAGCCUGGAAAAAUGGGGAAAACCAGGGGAAAAAUCCAGGGGAAAAUGGGAAAAUCCAGGGGAAAUCCUAGAAAAAUGGGAGUUCAGGAAUUUGGGAUUUGGGGAAUUUGGGAAUUCGGGAUUUAGGGAUUUUGGUAAUUCAGGAUUUUGGAAUUCAGGACUUUGGGAUUUCGGGAUUUUGGGAAUUCUGGAAUUUGAGAAUUCAGGACUUUUUUGGGAUUUUGGGAAUUCAGGAUUUUGGGAAUCUGGAAUUCAGGAGUUUGAGAAUUUGGGAAUUCAGGAUUUUGGGAAUUUGGGAAUUCAGGACUUUGGGAUUUUGGGAUUUGGGGAAUUCAGGAUUUUGGGAAUUUGGGAAUUCAGGAUUUUGGGACUUUGGGAAUUCAGGAUUUUGGGAAUUUGGGAUUUAGGGAUUUUGGGAAUUUGGGAUUUAGGGAUUUUGGGAAUUAGGGAUGUAGGGAAUUUGGGCUGGAGGGGCUGGGCUCUCACUAGUGCCGCAGCUGCAGCAGCCGCGCCUCGGCCUCGUAGGAGAUCAGCAAACAGCGACGGAUGGAGUUCAGGUUCACCUGCGGCAGGGAAACUCCCAGCAAAUCCCCGACAAUUCCCAAAAAAUCCACCAUUAAUUCCCCAAUAAAUUCCCAAUUAAUCCCCAUCAAAUCCCCCAUCAAUUCCCAAAAAAUCCACCAUUAAUUCCCCAAUAAAUUCCUCAUUAGAUCCCCCA
rnacentral:lncRNA from 1 species